GCCAGGCAUUGUGGCGUGUGCCUGUAAUUCCAGUUACUCAGAAGGCUGAGGCAGGAGAAUCGCUUGAACCCAGGAGGCGGAGGUUGCAGUGAGCUGGGAUCAUGCCACUGCACUCCAGCCUGGGCAACAGAGCAAGACUCUGUCUCAA
rnacentral:SRP_RNA from 1 species